rnacentral:rRNA from 1 species
GUUYAGAGUACGUGAAACCGUUCAGGGGUAAACCUGAGAAACCCGAAAGGUCGAAUGGGGAAAUUCAUUCGCGUUUCGAUUGUCGGAGUUAAGCUGUUGCGUGACUGACGGGGUACGCUUCGUAAGCACCUUCAGUUUUUCGAACCGACUUCGAACGCGUGCACUUUUCCUCUAGUAGGACGUCGCGAUCCGUUGGGUGUCGGUCUAAGGCCUGUGGUGGAGCUCGCACGGACGUUUCGGCGUUCCGCACGAACCCACAGUGUCCCGAUCGACUCGCUCGACGGUAUAAAGAUGGCGCGAGGCCGCUACACAGUUAGCGUUCGGCCUACGGCAAGCACGUGCGGUGUUGAUGGCGAUCAGACCUAGUCGGAUCCCGUCCCCGGACGACUGUUGGCACGUAGUGUUCUCGAACAGACCUCGUUGAAACGCCGAUCUGCGACGCUUUAGCUUUGGGUACUUUCAGGACCCGU